GAUGAACGCUGGCGGCAGGCUUAAUACAUGCAAGUCGAACGGUAACAGUACUAGCAAUAGUAGCUGACGAGUGGCGGAUGGGUGCGUAACGCGUAUGCAACCUACCCUUAACAGGAACAUAACGUUGAGAAAUCGGCGCUAAUAUUCCAUGUGUUUAUGAGAAGGCAUCUUAUUAUAAAUAAAGAUUUAUCGGUUAAGGAUGGGCAUGCGUAUCAUUAGUUAGUUGGUAGGGUAACGGCUUACCAAGACUACGAUGAUUAGGGGUUCUGAGAGGAUAUCCCCCCACACUGGAACUGAGAGACGGUCCAGACUCCUACGGGAGGCAGCAGUAGGGAAUAUUGGGCAAUGGAGGCAACUCUGACCCAGCCAUGCCGCGUGAAGGAAGACAGUCUUAUGGAUUGUAAACUUCUUUUAUCAUAGAGUAACCACCGGGACGUGCUCCCGGUCUGCAAGUAUAUGAUGAAUAAGCAUCGGCUAACUCCGUGCCAGCAGCCGCGGUAAUACGGAGGAUGCAAGCGUUAUCCGGAUUUAUUGGGUUUAAAGGGUGCACAGGCGGUCUGGUAAGUCAUGGGUGAAAUUUUACAGCUUAACUGUAAGCGUGCCUAUGAUACUGUCGGACUAGAGUUUAAGA
rnacentral:rRNA from 1 species